GCCUCGGUGGUGUAGUGGUUAGAGCACGCGUUCGCCGAAUAGGAUGAAACGCGGUUCGAUUCCCGCUUGAGGCC